rnacentral:rRNA from 1 species
GUAGCAAUACAACGUGGUCGGCGACCGGCGCGACGGGUGAGUAACGCGUAUGCAACCUACCUAGUCGAAGGGGGGAACUAACCCGGCGAAAGUCGGACUAAUACCGCAUAAAACAGGGGCACCGCAUGGUGAUAUUUGUUAAAGAAAUUCGCUGAUAGAUGGGCAUGCGUUCCAUUAGGUAGUUGGUGAGGUAACGGCUCACCAAGCCGACGAUGGAUAGGGAACUGAGAGGUUGGUCCCCCACACUGGUACUGAGACACGGACCAGACUCCUACGGGAGGCAGCAGUGAGGAAUAUUGGUCAAUGGGCGAGAGCCUGAACCAGCCAAGUCGCGUGAAGGAAGAAGGAUCUAUGGUUCGUAAACUUCUUUUGCAGGGGAAUAAAGUGCGGGACGUGUCCUGUUUUGUAUGUACCCUGAGAAUAAGGAUCGGCUAACUCCGUGCCAGCAGCCGC